rnacentral:sRNA from 17 species
GUAACUGUCCAUAAAUAACUUGCUCGACGAAAGUUAUUUUAAAGUUACCCGUCUAAGUUCUUAGGGAACUACGUUAGGAAUGAAAAUAUAGGCACCUUGGGAUGCAUCUCCAGUCCCAAGCACUGCG